UUUAGAUAACACUAACAAAGUUGACCUUAGAAUUGGAGUGCCUGGGUUAGAACCCUGCUGGUACCACCUGCUUACUGCAUGCUUCUGAUGUGAGUUCAGGAGAAGACACUGGCAAGGACAGCAAAGAACAGGAGAACACUCUAGCUUCCCUGAUAGCAUUCAAGGUGCUGUCCAAAGCUCUUGAGUUUCUGCUUUCAAGUGACCCUCAGAAAUUCCUCCAUUCACUGCAGAGGUUCUGUUUCUCCUUGCUUUGUUCUGACUUUACGGCAGAACUAAGCUAAUGAGUUAGUUACUAUGGGUUAUCACUUGGAUUUGAAGAACCAUCAUUUCUAGGCAUUGCUGCUCAGAGUGGGUCUGCCCUCAGGGGAAGCUGUCUAACCAGAGCCUAACCCACUAGGGUUUUAUCAGAACCUAACUGACCUGAGGAAAAGAAAUACUCAACUCCAGCAAGCUCCAGCCUUCCAAAUGGAGGAGGAGAAAACCCAACUCCAGCCCACUUCAGCUAUCUUGUCCCACAUAAAGGGGAAGUGGAAGAAACCUGAGAAGCAGGCAUGAAGUUCACAGUCCAGAGACCUUGCCAUCGUAUCCCCUUUUGGAGACACAAGCCAGGAAGGAAGCUCUUCAGUGCAGCUGUGAAUAGAGAAAUGCUGGCUGAGGUUUUGGAGACACUGGGUGAUCAUUCCCAGUGAAAUUUUUAGAUCCCUGGGGACAUGAGCUGCUUUGUCUUUUCCAAGGUCAGGAUAAACAGAAUAACUUCAGGCUUCUCUACCCAGAAAGAACAUGUGGCAUAAAUAUCAACUGCAGAAUAAAUAUGAUUAAUCUGGUACAUGGA
ensembl:lncRNA CASC19 cancer susceptibility 19